GAGCAAAGAGAUGGCAGUGGAGCAAGUUUCAGGAGCCUCGCAGCCGCCACUGCCAUUUCAGAUUAGGGUCCAUGGCAAUGCGACACAUGGGAUUGGUUGCAGGACACCGGAGUAUCGAACUACUACGGUUGAACGACCUGUUUCAAGAAGAGAAGCUGCCGAUAUUCGGUUGUUUGCGGUACAAUAGAUUGGGCGAAUAAACUUGGGAGAACGAACAAAAACGACCUGAAAUGAGACAAGGAGUUAAGCCUGAGAUCAUCGAUUGAGAUCAUCGAUUGAGGGAGACUGGUCUGCGACGUAACGGGCCGGCCCAAAGAACGACCUAGCGCCGAGGCAGAGAAUGAGGAAAGUGAUCGGUGGAGAAACCAACCGGGUCGAGAGGGCUCGGUCCCGAUCCUUGCUCGGUCCCGACCCCUUCUCGGUCCCGAUCCCUGCUCGGUCCCGACCCCUGGUCGGCUCAUGGCCCAGCCUGUAAAUCUCCCUCCUGCGAUCAACGAUCCUUCGGGCCCGGCAACGUUGAAUUAGGGUUUGGCUACGGAGGUUCUGGAAUCAUCUUCAUGGCUAUAAAUAGCAAUGAGAUCUGAGGAGGCAAGUGACUUAUCCCUAGCUAAUUAUUUUCUCAACUCUUCCUAGCUAACUUAAGCAUCGGAGCCCGUGUGACUAAGGUCACAUCGGUUUAGAUCGGUUUGAUUUUGUAGGUAUCGGUUCCCUUAUCAUUAAGUUAGGUGUGUGCGAGAAGAAGAGCCGAAGGGUCAAAAUCCAUGCAUCAACACAUGUUUUUGGGAAGGAUUAUUUUGUUGGCAAAAUUCAAUUUUUUGUUAGGACGACUUAGAGAAAAUGCCCUUCAUUAUUCCAUGAUGAAAGUAGAUUCUAGAGGUUCGGAUUGUCUUGUUGAGACUAAUUACAUUCGGUUGACGAUCUACUUUGAACUUUCUUUAUAGACUUCGGAUUGGAAUUUUGACUUUAUGUAGUCAUUAACAUCGUUAAUAAAAGUGACAAUG